rnacentral:rRNA from 1 species
AACGAACGCUGGCGGCAGGCCUAACACAUGCAAGUCGAGCGAGGACUUCGGUCCUAGCGGCGGACGGGUGAGUCACGCGUGGGAACGUGCCCUUUGCUUCGGAAUAGCCCUGGGAAACUGGGAGUAAUACCGGAUGAGCCCUUUGGGGGAAAGAUUUAUCGGCGAAGGAUCGGCCCGCGUUGGAUUAGGUAGUUGGUGGGGUAAUGGCCUACCAAGCCGACGAUCCAUAGCUGGGUUGAGAGGAUGCUCAGCCACACUGGGACGGAGACACGGCCCAGACUCCUACGGGAGGGAGCAGUGGGGAAUCGUAGACAAUGGGGGAAAUCCUGAUCUAGCCAUGCCGCGUGAGCGAUGAAGGCCUUAGGGUUGUAAAGCGCUUUCAGCUGGGUAGAUAAUGACGGUACCAGCAGAAGAAGCCCCGGCUAACUCCGUG